GCUCGGUGUCUUUUUUUUUUUACGCGCCCUGGUCACCCGGAAGGCCGGCCGGCGACCCCCGUGUCAGUGCCGUGUACGUACGUGUCGGGUCCCACGUUCCUACUGGUGCCUGAACCUACACUGACGCCACUCAGGUAGUAGACGGAUAGGAGACAAGUCAUACCGCCGGCAGUGGGUGCGCGCGCUCGCGUCCGCCUCGUCCCGUGGACACUCAUAGCCAUUGCAAGAGUAUUUUUGUUCCGAAAUAAAGGAAAUUUGCAGCCCUUUGUUUUUAGAAGGGAGUGUUUCACAUGCUUUUAUUUUUAUUUUUCCCUUUUUCCUAAGUCAGCCACCGACCUCUUCCAUGCAGUGGUCACAUGUGUGCGCUCGGGACCUCCCGGAUGGAGAAGCGAAGGCGCGCGAGGCCCGAGACUGCGCGGUGGCCCCUCCGUGGUGGGCGCCACCUGCUUCCCCUCCCGGGUCCCUGGAGGAGAGGAGGCACUCGGUCUCGCGCCCACACCCUGGCGGUUCCCUGUGGCCCCUUAGGCGCCAUCUCAUAAGCAACACCUCCCCCCACAGGGCCCCGCCCCCGCUGGAGCACCACUCACUGCCAUCGGGCCUCGGGCGCCGCCGCUGUUAGGAUGGGCGCCGGACAACCUACCUCGCAGGGCGUGGUGAGGUGUAGCGAUGGCCCCGGGGAUGGGCAGCUCAGGCGGCAGGAGCUGCAAAGACACCUUAGGUCCAAAAAGCAAGGUUCUGAACUGCCCACUUGGAGUUGCCCGCCUCCGAGCAAGGAUGCCAGCCUGCUGCCCCGUUUCUCCUCCGAAGACACCUACGUAGAGGCUGAGGCUGGUGCCCCAGGAGAGAGGCGAGGCGCCGACCCUCCGGUCACUGUGGCAGCCCCACCAGGGGAGGCUGCUGGGACACCAGGCCGCGCCUCUUUCCCACGGGGAGGAAGCCCGCCCCCACCCACCCGCAUUUGUCUGGGUUCAGCCAAGUACAGGGCAGCCAUUCCUAUUGGGGGGAUCCCCAUCCACAGGCCAGGGGUCCCCCUGCCUGCGGCUCCACACCACAUGGAGGGGGCAGCCCCCUCCCUGAGCGGUCGCCUUUUUUUGGUGCCUCCUACAUUUCUUGAGGAAAAAAAACAAACAAAAAAAUGUGUCCUUAGCUAUAGCCUGUUUUGCGCAGCAAUAUGCAGCCUCUUGCGCCCAAGAUUACCUCUGGAGAUCGCGGCCCUGGUCCAGGACGCAGCGUCCACCCCGCCUCGCGGAGGGGAGCCCUUGUUUCCAAGGAGAAGAUGGGGGAGUCCUCGCCAGCCUCUCAGGAGGGCCUCCGGGAACCCUCAAACCGGAGUGUACCCUCAGGACGGGCAGGAGGCAGACCAGCCCGCCAUCAGCCAGCGUCUCCUCCAGAAAAGGACGCUAAUCCCGGAUAUAAAGAGCAGCAAAAAAAAAAUUAUAUACACAUAUAUAUAUACACACACGGGGAGGGGGUCAUUUUUUACUUGUUUGAAGAAUUAUAAUAAACUAAUUUGAGUAUCUCCUGUGA